GUUGAACGAUCUGGAGAGAGGCGCCUCGAGCGUCCACCGAAGGGGAAAGCCGCACCGGCAAGGCUGACGCGGUUAAGCUCUCAGGUACAGCGACAGAUUGGGGAAA
rfam:Chrysosporum ovalisporum strain TAM-MAO genome assembly, contig: 7011